GGGGCCGGUGCGCGUGCUAACCAUGCAAGUCGAGCGAGAUGUAUAUGGACGAAACUUCGGUCUAGGAAAUAUAUUGACAGCGGCGGACGGGUGAGUAACGCGUAGGCAACCUGCCCUUAACACAGGGAUAGCCUCGGGAAACCGGGAUUAAAACCUGAUAAUGCCAAACAGUCACAUGGCUGGUUGGCCAAAGAUUUAUCGGUUAAGGAUGGGCCUGCGUCUGAUUAGUUUGUUGGUGGGGUAACGGCCUACCAAGACUACGAUCAGUAGCCGACCUGAGAGGGUGAUCGGCCACAUUGGAACUGAGACACGGUCCAAACUCCUACGGGAGGCAGCAGUGGGGAAUAUUGCACAAUGGGCGAAAGCCUGAUGCAGCAACGCCGCGUGAGCGAUGAAGGCCUUUGGGUCGUAAAGCUCUGUCCUUGGGGAAGAAAAAAAUGACGGUACCCAAGGAGGAAGCCCCGGCUAACUACGUGCCAGCAGCCGCGGUAAUACGUAGGGGACAAGCGUUAUCCGGAAUUAUUGGGCGUAAAGAGUACGUAGGUGGUCUUUUAAGCGCAGGGUUUAAGGCAAUGGCUUAACCAUUGUUCGCCCUGUGAACUGGAAGACUUGAGUGUAGGAGAGGAAAGUGGAAUUCCUAGUGUAGCGGUGAAAUGCGUAGAUAUUAGGAGGAACAUCAGUGGCGAAGGCGACUUUCUGGACUAUUACUGACACUGAGGUACGAAAGCGUGGGGAGCAAACAGGAUUAGAUACCCUGGUAGUCCACGCCGUAAACGAUGAGCACUAGGUGUCGGGGUCGCAAGAUUUCGGUGCCGUAGUUAACGCAUUAAGUGCUCCGCCUGGGGAGUACGUUCGCAAGAAUGAAACUCAAAGGAAUUGACGGGGACCCGCACAAGCAGCGGAGCAUGUGGUUUAAUUCGAAGCAACGCGAAGAACCUUACCAGGACUUGACAUCCUUCUGACAGGACCUUAACCCGGUCCCUCCUUCGGGCAGAGAGACAGGUGGUGCAUGGGUUGUCGUCAGCUCGUGUCGUGAGAUGUUGGGUAAGUCCC
rnacentral:rRNA from 1 species